UGAUGCAGCAGUACAAGGAAGGCCAUCACAUGUGAACUGGAAGGGUGCCAACAUGGAGACACAGAGAGCGCAAGGAGCUUCUCCUGGGCCCGAGGAAAACGACGCUCCCCGCCCUCAGGACUACCAUCCCAUUAACUCUUUCUGCCACAGACACGUCCACAAUUACAGCCGUAGCUGAUUUUUGUUGUUUUCUGCUUUUCUGGCUACAAACCAGGACUUUUUUCUCCCUGGAAUUUCCUAAGGACAAAAAGCGUAAUUAAAACACGGCCUGCUUACCCCAUGAGUGAGAUCCUUCUACUGGGGCAGGAACUGGAGAAACCAAACCAAACAGCAAACUGAACAGCAGCCUAAAGCAUCUGCAGGAGAAGCAGUCUGGACCUCCGCUCUUCCUGGGCUCUGAAUUUGAGGGCCUAGGUGGCUACGUCCUAUUACUCCUCAAAAGGCAUUUAGGCUACUCAGUCUCAGAGAUUCAGGUUGCUGAGUCAUUUGUUCCCAAGAAGAGCCUCUGACACCAUGAAAAGCAGCAAAACAGAGUGGCCGCCAAGCCGGGACCUGGAGUGGCCAACGACUGGCUUCCUCUCUCCGGGGCAGGUGGCCAAGGGAGACGAGCACCCACCAGCCCAGCUCCCGCUGCCCCCGCCACAGUCAUACCUGGUAUUACCUGGUACUGGAUAGCCUUCACAUACCUGGAAACUCUCAACAGGGAGGGGGUUUCCCACCAAGGCUCUGGAAACUGACCGGGGUUAUUUUUGGAUGCUGCCAGGUCUCCAGGCAUCAAAGCACACAGCUCCCAAGCUUGCCCUGCCCCCAGACUCAGAAAUGUUCCCAGAACAGCUCACCUGCUAACUCCCUGGACCCCGUAUACCCGGACGGACCCAGGGCGUCUUGGGUUCCCAUAGCGCCACAUCCAAAGAAGGCAGACCGCAAAGGUUCCUGACAACCCAUGGUACCACAAGAGCCUCGCCCUGAUCGGAAGUGGGAGGCGUGUGUGGGUCCUGGCGUGGCCGACUUAAAGUGUAUCACACCGAGGUGCUGGCAACUUCAAGACGGCUUGAGAACCAGAGGCCAUACCCCGCCUCCCAAGCAGGCUUCAUCAAGCAACAACUCUGGGCCAAGGUUUCACCCAGCAGAAAGAAGACCACUUGGAAGACAACCGUGGCACGCCACAGCUUUAAAAGAAGCCCAGAGCGGUGUGCCAGGCUCUCAGCAGGGGAGAAAGUGCUUCAAAUUCACACCUUCUGGGCUCCAGGGUAGAGCAUGCCAAUAAAGAAGUCACCUACUGGUCUGAUGACCAAAGGAAUGUGGCCUUGAUGGCACCAGAGCAAGUCCCCCGGAAUGGUCCUCUGCCCACUUAAAUACCAUUUGCCGUAGUUUCCUUUUCCAUGGAAGAAAAACAUGCCUAAGUUCAUGUCAGGACAUUCCUGAUUUAUCCAAGAGCCCAGGAUCAGAUAAACAAAGGGCUCUGAGCUCUGCCAGGGAGCCUCCUGCUUCAGGAGGGAGAAGCAGAAGGAAGCAGGGCUCAGCCCGGCACUGGCCCAUCACCCGAACUUGGUGAAUGACGUGCCGGCUCACUGCCAUGGCGAUGGAGAUGUCACGGGUGGGUGGCAGCGAGAGAGAAGAGGCAGAGAAGUCACGAGAGGCGGAACAAGAGCAAGUUAGGGUCAGGGGGGGCCACAGAACCCACAGACGGAGGCCGACUGUGGAUCAACCACAGCACAGCCGAGCUUGAGCCCAUGCAAAGGAAGGUCCCCUUCUCGGGGGCUCGGCAGGAACCAACUCUGACUUGCAAAGCAUUCUGACAGCACUGUGAUUGGGAGGUUCUGUUUCAUUUCACUUUUCAUCUAAACCUUUGCUGCUUCUUCCAGUUUUACUAAGAUUGAAACAGUCGUUUUCGAUGGCUCUGCCUAAUUCUAGGUCUUCCUUCUAUUAAUCUGAUCCUGCAUGGCGCCCAGAACAGGAAAACCCAAAUGGGAUGACCAGGAAGCAGACAUGGAUUCAGCUCCAAAAACAUGGGAGGAUGUUUGCUUAGCCGACAAGGAAGCAGGUUUACAGGGUGCUGCACGAGGCGUCUGAUUUCCGGGGGGGCGGCGGGGAGAAAUGCGAACCGAGGGGAAGGUGCCGGCCCCCUGUGUCCAUCCUGUGAGGCCUGGGGAGGCUGGAAAAGGCAGGGCUUCGACUCAAGCGCCGAGGUCCCUGGCUCUCUCCAGCUUCUCUGCAGUUUGGGGCCUCGGGAACUAAACACAGUCUCCAGACAUCCUGAGCGCUCCGUGGCCUCUGACUGAUCUAGGUCAAAACUUGGAAAUGCCAAAGAGGCAGAAUUUUUUUCUUUAAAGGGAAUGAGCUGAACUUUUACCCGGCCCUUGCCCUGGGUUUGGAAUGCAAGCGCUCUGUCACUGCCACCGGCUCCAGUCCUAUGGGCACCAGCCAGGAGCGCCGGCUGAGCGUGGGCCUCUGGCCCUCUCUGUUUCACCAUCAGGGCCUCCUAGGCAGGGGCUGGAUCCUCCAUCAGGAGCAAAGGCAUUUCUCUCAAGACAGGGAGCCGUGCCGGGGCUGAUUCCAAACCCCAUGCAAGUUUUGAGGGCUAGAGAGUGUUCUAGAGGUCUGGUCUCAGGCAGACCCGACAGGUUCGGGGGAGAAGGUAUUUCCGUUUACUGCCUGGGAGGGGGCAGACAAAGGGCGCUCGGUGGCCCCACGGGUAAAUCACUGCUUAAGUACCUACUAGGUGCUAAAGGCAAGCGUCAGCACAGGUGAAGCACACGACACCGGCCACCACUCUAGACAUACACGUUCUAGCGGAGAGCCCUUCCUGCCGGCAUUCCCAAGUGGGUGUUGCUGAUAUUUCCAAAAUCUGCUCUUUAAAAGCUGGGAUUCAUUUCCCCACUGAAACAGCAUUCGGCGUACUCAGUCGUUCCACUUGGAACGGAUGGGCAAUGGGGCCCUACUGUACCGCACUUUGCUGUACAGCAGAAAUUGAGAAAACACUGAAAAUCAAUACUUUCAUAAACAUAAAUUAAAAAAAAAAAAACCAUACCAGUUGGGUUCCCAGGCUAGCCCCCAAAGUCCUGUCCCAUCCACGCUGGGAAGGCACAGACUCCAGGGCGGCGGGGGCGCUCGGUGGGUCCUGAAGGAUGGAGGGAAGGUGAGAGUGGAAGAAGGUACAAGCCCCUCUCCCGCUCUUCCCACUGGGGUUCCCUGGGAAUGGAGACCCCAAGGGCCCAGGUCGUCCAGUUUUUCAGAAGACGAAAAAAUCUAUGUGCUCCAUUAAACUCUUGAUUUUUAAA